rnacentral:misc_RNA from 1 species
GGGCAAGGUAAAAACAAAGCGAAAAAGGCCCUUUAUACAUACAAUACAUUCGAUAGAAAACAAAAUCAACGAACGAACCCUAGGGUUUUCUCUCCCCAGUUUCCUUCGCCGAGUACCCAUUCAUUCAUUCAAUCACCAUGACAGGAAAAGCAAAGCCAAAGAAGCACACAGCGAAAGAAUUAGCUGCAAAGAUCGAUGCAGCAACGACUAACAGGGGCGGCGGUAAGGCUGGGUUAGCCGACAGGUCUGGUAUUGAAAAAGGUGGACAUGCCAAGCUUGAAUGUCCUCUUUGCAAAGUGACUGCACCUGAUAUCAAGUCUAUGAAGAUCCAUCAUGAUGCAAAACACCCAAAAGUUGCUUUUGAUGAAACAAAACUCAACAAUCUUCAUGCUACUGUUGUUGCUGAAUCAAGCAACAAGCCUAAACCUGGUAUUCGUGGGAGUCUUAAGAAGUGAGUUCAUUUUUAGGGAUGAUGAUAUAGUUUUCUGAUGGUGGGCAUCAUAUGAAUAAUAUCGAACCCACUUUUUUAGUUUUCUUUUCUUUUGUUUCUGGGGAUGUAAUCUUUUAUCUUAUCUUUUUCUUCCAAGUUAAUGCUACUCUGGGGUUGUUAUUUUGGAUAUCAUAUAUAUUUUAUGUUUUGUUUUUAUGAAAAAGCAUGCUCAGC